AACGAACGCUGGCGGCAGGCCUAACACAUGCAAGUCGAACGCUGUAGCAAUACAGAGUGGCAGACGGGUGAGUAACGCGUGGGAACAUACCCUUCGGUUCGGAACAACUCAGGGAAACUUGAGCUAAUACCGGAUACGUGCGAGAGCAGAAAGAUUCAUCGCCGAAGGAUUGGCCCGCGUUCGAUUAGCUUGUUGGUGAGGUAACGGCUCACCAAGGCGACGAUCGAUAGCUGGUCUGAGAGGAUGAUCAGCCACAUUGGGACUGAGACACGGCCCAAACUCCUACGGGAGGCAGCAGUGGGGAAUAUUGGACAAUGGGCGAAAGCCUGAUCCAGCCAUGCCGCGUGA
rnacentral:rRNA from 1 species